UACAGAGGGGGCAAGCGUUGUUCGGAAUUACUGGGCGUAAAGGGCGCGUAGGCGGCCUGUUAAGUCGAACGUGAAAUCCCCGGGCUCAACCCGGGAACUGCGUCCGAUACUGGCAGGCUUGAAUCCGGGAGCGGGAUGCGGAAUUCCAGGUGUAGCGGUGAAAUGCGUAGAUAUCUGGAGGAACACCGGUGGCGAAGGCGGCAUCCUGGACCGGUAUUGACGCUGAGGCGCGAAAGCCAGGGGAGCAAACGGG
rnacentral:rRNA from 1 species